GCAAGUCGAGCGGAAAUUUAUUGGUGCUUGCACCUUAAAUUUAGCGGCGGACGGGUGAGUAACACGUGGGUAACCUACCUUAUAGAUUGGGAUAACUCCGGGAAACCGGGGCUAAUACCGAAUAAUACUUUUUUAACACAUGUUUGAAAGUUGAAAGACGGUUUCGGCUGUCACUAUAAGAUGGACCCGCGGCGCAUUAGCUAGUUGGUGAGGUAACGGCUCACCAAGGCAACGAUGCGUAGCCGACCUGAGAGGGUGAUCGGCCACACUGGGACUGAGACACGGCCCAGACUCCUACGGGAGGCAGCAGUAGGGAAUCUUCCACAAUGGACGAAAGUCUGAUGGAGCAACGCCGCGUGAAGUGAAGAAGGAUUUCGGUUCGUAAAACUCUGUUGCAAGGGAAGAACAAGUAGCGUAGUAACUGGCGCUACCUUGACGGUACCUUGUUAGAAAGCCACGGCUAACUACGUGCCAGCAGCUGC
rnacentral:rRNA from 1 species